rnacentral:rRNA from 1 species
GCCGCGAGGCAGAGCAAAACCCUAAAAAAUCGUCUCAGUUCAGAUUGCAGGCUGCAACUCGCCUGCAUGAAGUCGGAAUUGCUAGUAAUCGCAGAUCAGCAUGCUGCGGUGAAUACGUUCCCGGGCCUUGUACACACCGCCCGUCACACCAUGGGAGUCGGUAACACCCGAAGUCGGUAGCCUAACCGUAAGGAGGGCGCCGCCGAAGGUGGGAUUGAUGACUGGGGUGAAGUCGUAACAAGGUAAC